rnacentral:rRNA from 2 species
UUAAGCGACUAAGCGUACACGGUGGAUGCCCUGGCAGUCAGAGGCGAUGAAGGACGUGCUAAUCUGCGAAAAGCGUCGGUAAGGUGAUAUGAACCGUUAUAGCCGGCGAUGUCCGAAUGGGGAAACCCAGUGCAAUUCGUUGCACUAUCGUUUGAUGAAUACAUAGUCAAACGAGGCGAACCGGGGGAACUGAAACAUCUAAGUACCCCGAGGAAAAGAAAUCAACCGAGAUUCCCCCAGUAGCGGCGAGCGAACGGGGAGCAGCCCGGAGUCUGAAUCAGCUUGUGUGUUAGUGGAAGCGUCUGGAAAGUCGCAGGGUACAGGGUGAUACUCCCGUACACUAAAGCACACAGGUUGUGAACUCGAAGAGUAGGGCGGGACACGUGGUAUCCUGUCUGAAUAUGGGGGGACCAUCCUCCAAGGCUAAAUACUCCUGACUGACCGAUAGUGAACCAGUACCGUGAGGGAAAGGCGAAAAGAACCCCGGCGAGGGGAGUGAAAAAGAACCUGAAACCGUGUACGUACAAGCAGUAGGAGCCCACUAGUUGGGUGACUGCGUACCUUUUGUAUAAUGGGUCAGCGACUUAUAUUCUGUAGCAAGGUUAACCGUAUAGGGGAGCCGCAGGGAAACCGAGUCUUAACUGGGCGUUAAGUUGCAGGGUAUAGACCCGAAACCCGGUGAUCUAGCCAUGGGCAGGUUGAAGGUUGGGUAACACUAACUGGAGGACCGAACCGACUAAUGUUGAAAAAUUAGCGGAUGACUUGUGGCUGGGGGUGAAAGGCCAAUCAAACCGGGAGAUAGCUGGUUCUCCCCGAAAGCUAUUUAGGUAGCGCCUCGUGAAUUCAUCUUCGGGGGUAGAGCACUGUUUCGGCUAGGGGGUCAUCCCGACUUACCAACCCGAUGCAAACUACGAAUACCGAAGAAUGUUAUCACGGGAGACACACGGCGGGUGCUAACGUCCGUCGUGAAGAGGGAAACAACCCAGACCGCCAGCUAAGGUCCCAAAGUCAUGGUUAAGUGGGAAACGAUGUGGGAAGGCCCAGACAGCCAGGAUGUUGGCUUAGAAGCAGCCAUCAUUUAAAGAAAGCGUAAUAGCUCACUGGUCGAGUCGGCCUGCGCGGAAGAUGUAACGGGGCUAAACCAUGCACCGAAGCUGCGGCAGCGACACUAUGUGUUGUUGGGUAGGGGAGCGUUCUGUAAGCCGUUGAAGGUGGCCUGUGAGGGUUGCUGGAGGUAUCAGAAGUGCGAAUGCUGACAUAAGUAACGAUAAUGCGGGUGAAAAACCCGCACGCCGGAAGACCAAGGGUUCCUGUCCAACGUUAAUCGGGGCAGGGUGAGUCGACCCCUAAGGCGAGGCCGAAAGGCGUAGUCGAUGGGAAACAGGUUAAUAUUCCUGUACUCGGUGUUACUGCGAAGGGGGGACGGAGAAGGCUAUGUUGGCCGGGCGACGGUUGUCCCGGUUUAAGCAUGUAGGCGGAUGUUCCAGGUAAAUCCGGAGCGUCACUAACGCUGAGGUGUGAUGACGAGGCACUACGGUGCUGAAGUGACAAAUGCCCUGCUUCCAGGAAAAGCCUCUAAGCAUCAGGUAACAUCAAAUCGUACCCCAAACCGACACAGGUGGUCAGGUAGAGAAUACCAAGGCGCUUGAGAGAACUCGGGUGAAGGAACUAGGCAAAAUGGUGCCGUAACUUCGGGAGAAGGCACGCUGAUGGUAGGUGAAGCGACUUGCUCGUGGAGCUGAAAUCAGUCGAAGAUACCAGCUGGCUGCAACUGUUUAUUAAAAACACAGCACUGUGCAAACACGAAAGUGGACGUAUACGGUGUGACGCCUGCCCGGUGCCGGAAGGUUAAUUGAUGGGGUUAUCCGUAAGGAGAAGCUCUUGAUCGAAGCCCCGGUAAACGGCGGCCGUAACUAUAACGGUCCUAAGGUAGCGAAAUUCCUUGUCGGGUAAGUUCCGACCUGCACGAAUGGCGUAAUGAUGGCCAGGCUGUCUCCACCCGAGACUCAGUGAAAUUGAACUCGCUGUGAAGAUGCAGUGUACCCGCGGCAAGACGGAAAGACCCCGUGAACCUUUACUAUAGCUUGACACUGAACACUGGUCCUUGAUGUGUAGGAUAGGUGGGAGGCUUUGAAGUGUGGACGCCAGUCUGCAUGGAGCCAUCCUUGAAAUACCACCCUUUAAUGGCUGGUGUUCUAACGUGGGCCCCUAAUCGGGGUUGCGGACAGUGUCUGGUGGGUAGUUUGACUGGGGCGGUCUCCUCCUAAAGAGUAACGGAGGAGCACGAAGGUCAGCUAAUCCUGGUCGGACAUCAGGAGGUUAGUGCAAUGGCAUAAGCUGGCUUGACUGCGAGCGUGACGGCGCGAGCAGGUGCGAAAGCAGGUCAUAGUGAUCCGGUGGUUCUGAAUGGAAGGGCCAUCGCUCAACGGAUAAAAGGUACUCCGGGGAUAACAGGCUGAUACCGCCCAAGAGUUCAUAUCGACGGCGGUGUUUGGCACCUCGAUGUCGGCUCAUCACAUCCUGGGGCUGAAGUAGGUCCCAAGGGUAUGGCUGUUCGCCAUUUAAAGUGGUACGCGAGCUGGGUUUAGAACGUCGUGAGACAGUUCGGUCCCUAUCUGCCGUGGGCGCUGGAGAAUUGAGGGGGGCUGCUCCUAGUACGAGAGGACCGGAGUGGACGCAUCACUGGUGUUCGGGUUGUCAUGCCAAUGGCAUUGCCCGGUAGCUAAAUGCGGAAGAGAUAAGUGCUGAAAGCAUCUAAGCACGAAACUUGCCCCGAGAUGAGUUCUCCCUGACCCUUUAAGGGUCCUGAAGGAACGUUGAAGACGACGACGUUGAUAGGCCGGGUGUGUAAGCGCAGCGAUGCGUUGAGCUAACCGGUACUAAUGAACCGUGAGGCUUAACCUU